UACAGGGGGUGCAAACGUUGCUCGGAAUUAUUGGGCGUAAAGCGCGCGUAGGCGGCUACUUAAGUCGGAUGUGAAAGCCCCUGGCUCAACUGGGGAAGUGCACCCGAAACUGAGUAGCUUGAGUGCAAAAGAGGGCCGCGGAAUUCCCGGUGUAGAGGUGAAAUUCGUAGAUAUCGGGAGGAACACCGGUGGCGAAGGCGGCGACCUGGGUCGAGACUGACGCUAAUACGCGAAAGCGUGGGGAGCAAACAGG
rnacentral:rRNA from 1 species